CCUACGGAGGGCAGCAGUGGGGAAUAUUGGACAAUGGGGGCAACCCUGAUCCAGCCAUGCCGCGUGUGUGAAGAAGGCCCUCGGGUUGUAAAGCACUUUCAGUGAGGAAGAACGCCUGGUGGUUAAUACCCAUCAGGAAAGACAUCACUCACAGAAGAAGCACCGGCUAACUCCGUGCCAGCAGCCGCGGUAAUACGGAGGGUGCGAGCGUUAAUCGGAAUUACUGGGCGUAAAGCGCGCGUAGGUGGCUUGAUAAGCCGGUUGUGAAAGCCCCGGGCUCAACCUGGGAACGGCAUCCGGAACUGUCAAGCUAGAGUGCAGGAGAGGAAGGUAGAAUUCCCGGUGGAGCGGUGAAAUGCGUAGAGAUCGGGAGGAAUACCAGUGGCGAAGGCGGCCUUCUGGACUGACACUGACACUGAGGUGCGAAAGCGUGGGUAGCAAACAGGAUUAGAUACCCCAGUAGUC
rnacentral:rRNA from 1 species